GAUGAACGCUGGCGGCGUGCCUAAUACAUGCAAGUCGAGCGAACAGACGAGGAUCUUGCUCCUCUGACGUUAGCGGCGGACGGGUGAGUAACACGUGGAUAACCUACCUAUAAGACUGGGAUAACUUCGGGAAACCGGAGCUAAUACCGGAUAAUAUAUUGAACCGCAUGGUUCAAUAGUGAAAGACGGUUUUGCUGUCACUUAUAGAUGGAUCCGCGCCGCAUUUGCUAGUUGGUAAGGUAACGGCUUACCAAGGCUACGAUGCGUAACCGACCUGGACGGGGGAAUCGGCAAGCCGGAAAUAGAGAACGGGCCAACACACUAGGGCGGGGACCAGGACGGAACUCUUCCGGAAGGGAGGAAUGCUGAAGGUUGCACACCGGGGGAAAGAAUGAGGCAUUCGGGCCGUGAAAUUCUGUUAGUAGGGGAGAAGUAAAAUUCUAGUUAACAAGAUCGACUUGACGGUACCGAAACAAAAAGGCCCGGCUAAAUACGUG
rnacentral:rRNA from 1 species